UCCGUCGUGGUGCAGUGGUAGCCCGCCGGACCGCAUACUGCUCUGACCGGCUGAGGUGUGGCGGGAGGGAGCCCCAUUGGAAGCUUUGGGCGCUUAUGGUUGGUCUUAGUAUCUGCAGCAUGUCCGGAGGCCCGAGUUCGAUUCUCGGCGAUGGAA